rnacentral:rRNA from 1 species
GCUGGCCUACGGGGCGCAGCGGUAGGGAAUUUUCGUCAAUGGGCGCAAGCCUGAACGAGCGAUGCCGCGUGAGCGAAGAAGGUCUUCGGGUCGUAAAGCUCUGUUGCGGGGGAAGAAAGGCAGCAUCAGGAAAUGGGUGCUGACUGAUGGUGCCCCGCCAGAAAGUCACGGCUAACUACGUGCCAGCAGCCGCGGUAAUACGUAGGUGGCGAGUGUUAUCCGGAAUGAUUGGGCGUAAAGGGUGCGCAGGCGGUCCUGCAAGUCUGG